CACGUAGGGUGCGAGCGUUGUCCGGAAUUAUUGGGCGUAAAGAGCUCGUAGGCGGUGUGUCGCGUCGGCCGUGAAAACCCGACAGCUCAACUGUGGGCUUGCAGCUGAUACGGGCAGGCUUGAGUUCGGUAGGGGAGACUGGAAUUCCUGGUGUAGCGGUGAAAUGCGCAGAUAUCAGGAGGAACACCGGUGGCGAAGGCGGGUCUCUGGGCCGAUAC
rnacentral:rRNA from 1 species